UCAUACAGAUUUAUUGGAGGA
rnacentral:piRNA from 1 species